UUUGUUUGGGUUAAUUUAGUAGGUGACGUACUAAUACUAUGUAAUAAAUUGAUAAAAGAUAAAAUCAAUUCGUUCCUUAAGGGGCAUGCAUGUGUAAUCAAAUGUACUAAAUAAACUAGUUUUGAGCUAAAGUGGACCAGUUUUGUGUGUACUUGGUUGUUCUAUAUCAAUUUUACAUUUUCCAACCCAUAGUCCAUGCAGUAUAACGGUCAUCUCAUAUUGGCCUAGUAACUAAUUAGCUUUAAACUGUUCUCUAGAAAGUUACUACGGG